UACCUCUCUCUCUCUCUCUCUGUCUCUCUCUGUCAAAAAUAAAUAAAUAAUCAUUUUAAAAAUAAUAUGGCUGCUUCAUCCUACAAAGUAUCCAAAGUCUCACACCAUUUCUUGACUUCCCCAUAUCUUCUUCAGACUCCAUUUCUUCCAGAUGCCUUUAGGAACUUCUAAAUCACAUGAUACAUAGAAUAGUUAUUGUCCUUGAUCAUAUCAGGAUUAAAUAUGUUCUAGUAAAAAUGUGAUUGGAAAAUAUUAAAAAGUGAGAAUUAAUAUGUUUUUUACCUACCUAGGGACUCAUCAAAUUUCUUCCCUUGGUCCCUGAACCAAUCUGUUACACCUCUGCUUUUCAUGAGACUACAUUUAUAGGAUACAAAGGCAUAAAUUGAUUCAGACCUAAGAAAUACAGUAAGAUGCAUGCAUAAUGAGUAUCCCUCCCCACCCCCACCCCCACAAUCAUCUAGAACUAGAGAAGAUCCUAUAGAAUGGGGCAAGAGGAGAGAGGAGGAGGACUGGGGUGCUGUCAUCAGGAAAAUUUCUCUGUUUCGCCUAAUGUGGAGCACCUGCCACCAGUAUAGGAAGGUGUGUGGAUUGAGGACCAUCCCAAAUCUAUUCCAGUAAUGAGCACCAUGCCCUACCUGUAGGAAGAAGGAAUGGAGGAGUACGUGUGACUGCCAUGAGUACAUCUGGUAGUGACCAACUGACAGCUGCUUGAGCCCUCAUAUUUUAAUACCCCCACCAUAAUUAUCCUGUAUGGACAACUAUCUUUUAAGAGCAGGAUGAUUACAAACUUGAGAAACAGAGACUAAGGCCCUAGACGCCUCAGGCUGUGCUGGUGAUGGGGAAGGAGAAAAACUCCUAGCAUCAUUCAUUUCCUGACUUCAGGUUACCCUCUCCCCACAACACACCCGGUUAAGGUUGGGUAUAGAUGAACCAAGUGAUAGCACCCCACUGAGUUAAUAUACUGGUGGAAUAUCUAUCCCUUUGGGUAUGGAGAAGGAUCACAUGAAGGGACAAAAGCAGAGAGGAAUCAAACAAUACUGGUAGUUCCUGGACAUGUUCUUUAGAAAUGGAUUUGUGAGUCAGAUACCUAGAGCUGAAGAGGAAGACCCAGUCUCUUGAUUGGGUUGAGGAUAUGAGAUACAGGUGUGCUGCUGAUAAUAAACCCAGGAUAAGGACUGCAGAAUCCAGCAGCAGUGGUGGGUAAAGGGAAGAGCUGAAAUAUCCAAAGAGGAAUGACCUUCCCUUCCUCUUUCACUUUCCUUUUGGCUUUCAGCAUGCUUAGCAAUUUCCUCACAUAUGCAUUAGUCUCACUAGGUGUCACCUUUAAAAUAUUUAUUUUAAUGGGUGAUUGAAUGUCUACAAUUUGCCAGGAUAUGCUAUAUGCUUUUGGGUGUGUUCUCAUAUAUCUCAUUUGAUCUUCACUCUGACCAUAGGACAUUGAUAUUUUAUUCCCAUUUUGCAGAUUAAAAAAAAAAAAACAAAACAAAUCAAAGAUAUGAGUUGAUUUGCUUAAGGUCACAGAAGUAAUAAACGUCAGAACCAGAAUUUAAGUCUGGCCUUCUGAUCCCGACUUCAUGAUUCUUUCUACAGCAGCAAUAUAUUUCUAAAAUAUUAGAUCCAAAAUGAAUGUUAGAAAUUACUUCAUCCAGGAAUGACAGAUAUAUUCUAAAUGAUGUGCCGACUCUAAUUGUUCUAGGCUGCCUGGAGUGUGUGCUGAGAAGAACAUGGGGGCCUAUCGCAGGCUCAGUGGGAAAAAGUGCCAUGAUUGAUUCCUGAUGUCUGCUACAGGCACCAAUGCCAGUACCUUCCAGCCCUAACUUGGUUCUCUCCCACCAUGUUUACAGCUGGGAACAUCGAUGCUGGGAGAUUUAGAAAGAAUUGCCCAAAAACACACAGCAUGGUGUUGGCAGAGACACACUAAGUCUCCCCCUCUCCUGACUCCAUACCUGGUGCUCUUGGCUGAGCCCUGGACCUUCCCCUGGAGUUCUCAUGGGAAACCUUCCAAAUCACUCUUUCUUUGUGAAUCUCUUUCUGACCUUGUUUUUCUGUUGCGUAUCAGUUAUGCACAUCAUCUGAGUAAAGUGCUUUGAAGAGGAAUCCAAUGUGAAAUACUAGCUUGCAAUUGUCAAUACAAUUCCUCAGUCAAGGCUCCUGUUGAGGAAUUGCUGAGAGGGAUGUGUUCCAAGUGAUUGAUGGGCACCAAGUUCUGGUGUUGAGACUGGUAAGCAAAUGCAGGGCGGUCAAGAAAUAACCAGAGCCAACUCAGCAUUUAGGAACUGGCUGGUGCUAAAUUUUCCUGCACAAUUUUGAUCUGAUCAGCUCAAAGCACUAUAGAAUGGUUCAUUGGUGCAAGGAAAAUGACUGAAGAAGUACUGUGUUUAAAUUUAGGAGAAGUAACCUGAAGACGAUAGUCAUUCACUGAAAUGGCAUCCACUUAAUGAGGAAGAGAAAGUGCAUAUAUGUAAAAUGAAGUGGAAGUUUGAAAAAUCUAUCCUAGAUAAUUCAAACAGAAAACUAUUUUAUAGUAGUACCUAACUCAUGGGUUGUUGUGAAAUUAAAUGAGACAAUGCUCAUAAAUUAUUUAGCUAGUGCCUGGCAAGCAAUAAUUGCUCAAAGAACAAUAAACAAUAAUAUAUUUUUUUCAUGAGAAAAGAUUGUAGGAGUAUGUGUGUGUGCGUGCAUAUGUCUGUGUGUGUUGCCCUCUUUGAAUCAUCUACUUGACUAACUCGAUUAUCUUGUUUGUAGACACACUCUUUCCCAUUCUUUCUACAUCUUUAAAUGGAGAACACACCCACUUUCAACUGGAAUGUCACGGAUUUCUUUCACUGAACACAGGCAUCUUACUAAAUCUCCUGCUGUUCAUAAAAUGUGACUGAUUAGCAUUAUUAGAUUAGAGUUUCUGUUCAUGAAACUGAGUCACAGAAAAGUUAAGUGAUCAGCCCCAAGUCACACAGCUUUUGAAUGUCUGGGCAUUGAUAAAAAGACAAGAGUCUUUCUCUCUCAACUCAGACUGUUGUACACUCUGUCUUCUUUAUAUUAAUAUUAAAAUGAUUCUGCUUCUCCAACUUCCCUCCCUUCCUUAUCCCCUUUAGUUUUGUUUUUCCAUUUCUUACCCUAAUCCAAAUUAAGAACUACUUAGGAAAUUUCUUUUAUGCACCCAUUGUUGAUCAUUAGACUAUAAAUAAGGCUUUGUCCAUAUUAAUGGCAAAUGCUGACAGUCGCUACUCUCCACUUUUCCUGUUGACAGAUUUUCUUGAAAUCACCAUUGCUCCUUCACAUUACACUGGGGAAGAUAACCCUAUCCCAGAUUCCGGGAAUAUAGGAGUACCCUCCAGGAAUAUAGGAUCUGUUCCAACCCCUAGUGGAUGCCUGAAACUGUGGAUAAUAUCAAACCCUACAUAUACUGUGUUUUUUCCUAUAUGUGCAUACCUAUGAUAAAGUUUGUCAAGUAGACAAAGGGAUUAACGCCAAUAACAAUGAAAUGGAAAAAUCGUGACAAUAGAAUGUACUACAAGUUAUAUGAAUGUGGUCUCUCUCUCUCAAGAUAUCUCCUUGUACUGUACUCACUUUUCUUCUUGUGAUGAUGUGAGAUGAUCAAAUGCCUACCUGAUGAGAUGAAGUGAGGUGAACGACCGAGGCAUGUGACCUAGUGUUAGGCUACUAUUAACCUAUAUGUCAGAAGGAGGAUCAUCUGCUUCCAGACCAGGGUUGACCACAGGUAACCAAAACCACGGAAAGUGAAACCACAGACUGUGGGCUCCAUGGAAACCACAGGGAACAGAGGCAGAUGUACCAGCAGGCAAAUGAAGUUUCAGCAUUAGGACUCUGGGAGUUGCGUCAGCAAUUGGAGUUACAUCUUCCUUGGCGGUUUCCAAUCUCAACUAGCAAAGAAUAAGGCUCUCGGCUCUGCAGGCCGAGAAAGUAACCUUGGCAUAAUGAAUGACCUGUAGCUUCAGAACGCCUCUGGAAUGCCAAAUGACCACGGCUCCAUGCCUCUGGAAUGUGGAAUGGCCCCUGCAUUAGCCAGGUGACCCACAGCUGCACACCACUGGAAUGAAAACUAGAUUCUGGCUCCUAGAAUACCAAAUGUCUGCUCAAGGAAAAAGCAACAGAUAAGCCUUCCUGCUGAGGAGGAAGAAAUGGUAGUGACUGCCAUUGCUGCGAUGAGAUAACUAUCUGUUAAUACUAAUAACACCUUAUUCUGAGUCACACAACUUCUGUGAACCACCUGCUGAAAACUGUCUGACCCUCCCCAAAUCGGAGAAACAGAUCUCUUCCCAUGGGUAGAAAUGUGUUCCCCCUAUUUUGUGUUUCCUAUGCAUUGCCUGAAAGAAGAAACAGAAAUCUUGUUUCCAAAAUUCAUUUUCCCAGUGCAUUAAUUUGGACUUACAAAGCUUUGUAAUCCAUUUAGACAGCAUCGGCAUCUACAAAGUCCUGUUCAGAGAAUGUAGUUCCCCAGUGAGGGCGCCUGAACCCUUCCUGGAAGUCGCCUGCAAAGGAGACAAGGUGUAAGGAUAUUUGCAUCAAUCAUGUUCACUAACUGGGAUUUUAAUGAUUCUCUCUUCCCCUUUCUUCUUCAUCAUCUUUUUUUUCUUCCCAGUGCCAUUCCUCAGUGAAUAUUUCUUUUUCUUUUUUUUUUUUUCCUUUCUCUUUUCUCUUGCAUUUCAAUGCACUGGCUUUAAAAGGAGGAUUUGCAAACUGAGUAUUAAAACUCCAGGGUACUACAUCUCCAAAAUCUAUAAGACGAUAAGAAGAUAAGAGGCCAAACCCACUGAAAGCUUCCCUCCUGGUGCCUGUGGAACUUGCAGGCUGGUCUAUAAUACCCCUAAGCGAAAGCAAUCUGCCCACCUCCUCCCCACCCAACCCUCCCUGCCUAAUGCAGGCGGAUAAACUUAGCAUUAAAAUUCCCACACUUUGGCAAAUGAGUACCCAGGAGGCUGCUGACUCAAUCAGAGCUUGUUUUACUUACAGUGUAGU